rnacentral:lncRNA from 7 species
AGGAUUAGAAGUUUCCACCAUUACUUCUGUGAAGACGCGUGGAUUCAUUCAGGCCGCCUUCCUUGAGUGGGUAUUUUAUUUUUCCUGCUGGUGGUGUUCUCAGGAUGUGUGCAUGAUGCGGGACCAGGUGCAAUAGUGCAUCAGCAAGAACAGCUUCCUGAAUGACUACAGCGGCUGAGUGACAGCAUUAAAACAGCAUUAAAACACAACUACAGAGGUGGCAGGAGAAGGGGAGCCCCUGUCCCUGUUCCACAGCCCAUCUCCGGUAGCGUCUGCCUGUCUGAAAGCUGAGUGCACCUGGAUCAGGACCUGCUCUCCAUCAGUCUUGGCGCCCUGGUGUCAGCAAUGCUAGGUUCUACGGAAGAAAUGGAGCAAAACUCUCCACCAGGGAAUGCUGCCAGCUUUCCAUUACGCUUAGAGGAAAUCAGGUCGCCUUCCAGUGAGUUCCAGUCACCAAAUUAUUUUAUUGUUACAAUAUGAUGAAGCGACUUUUAUUUUGUGCACUUCAUGGUGCCCAAAAUGUUAGUUUUCACAGUAUAGAAUGGAUGUGACAGCAUUUGUCAUGGAAGCACUGAGUAGAGUAUGUUGCAACUUCAUUCAAUUGUGCUGUUUUAUGAACUUCUGCAGUAAAAUGUGCCAGCAAAUUAUGUUGUAUUAUUUUUGUUCUGGCGAUUAACUAAUUAUUCAUAUAAUAAAUACCAGCUAACUACAAGAAAGAGAUUUAUUUGUCACAGACUUAGAAGAAUGUCAAACUUUUCCCAUUUCAUGUAAAAAGGCAGAGGAAAAAAUACUUCUAAAAUGACUUUGCAACACGUGCUUUAUUUUAAGUCAUUACUGAAUCAAAACUACACAGUAUACCCUUUUAAUAUACCUUACUCACUCAAUGAUUUUUUUUCUCUCAAUAAUUUUUUUUUAACAUGGAAUGAAAUCUACAUUGCAAAUGUAAAUUUUCAUGCUACAAUGAUCUCUAAUGAGCCAUUUGUGUCACUAAUAAUAGUAAUUUAAGAAAAAAAGGCCACUUUUCAAGCUCAUAUGCAUGUCUAUAUUUGGGAACUUAAAAAAAAAAAAAACAACAACCCGUCUCAGAUGUAAAAAUGUGACUUGGAAUAUGUAAACAUUUUUCUAUACCUGAAACACUGGAAGAAGAGUAUCAGCCAACAGCAAAACAAUGGUUGCCUUAAGUCAUCGAAAUGGGAAAAAGCAAGUCAUGGGGAGCAGAGAGAAGCACACACUAUUCAGUUUUUAAAGGAUUAUAAGAAAUGAAGUAGCUCCUUAGGUCAUUGAAUUCACGUUCUUUUCUCAUCUAACAGAAAGCAGUAACUCUGAAGAAAAUGGCCUAGCAGAACAUCCCAAUAUUUCACCAUAAUUAUUCUAGCCAUUAGUUACCCUCGACGAAAUGUCAAGUUUCAGUUGCUGUUUUUUUUUUUUCCUGAGUCAUUGAUGUUUGGUGGAAAUGUUUUCUGUGACUGUACAAAUAAAAUAAGGCAUUU